AUGCAAACUGCAAUGGCGAGUGUUUCAACCUUUAUAGCUAUGUCUCUCGUCAUGCUCGCCGCCAUGUCCUCUGGCCUCCUUGUUGCCUAUGCUAACACCGAAUUCAUCUCCCGCACAUGCAACAAGACCAACAACCCCGCAUUGUGCAUUGCCGUGCUUACCACAAAGCCACAAAGCGCCCAUGCCUCCACCGAACACGACCUCGCCAGAAUCGCAUUGGAGCUCACCAUUGACACCGCCAAACACAACGUCAAGGUCAUCAAUGACCUAGACAAGAAAAAACAGAGCAAGCCGGAGGCAUUUGCACUGGCCAUCUGCCUUAAGGCUUACACUGAAGCCACUAGUGCCCUUGAGAUUUAUGCAUCUAACUUCCAAAUUGGGUCGUACACCAGUACGUUGGCCAAUGUUUCGUUCGUGAUGGGCGCUAGUGAUACAUGUAAGAAAGCGUUCAAAAGGAUCGGCAAGGAAUCCCCAGUGUCCUACAUAGAUCGCGAGAUGACAGAGCACUGCAGUGUCGCCAGCAACCUCAUCAACCUACUUGUCCGCAAGUGA
rnacentral:rRNA from 1 species